ACUAAGUUCACAAACUCGCAAACCAAAUCAGACCAUUAAGAGCUCAAGUUGAGUCAUCAAAUAAGUUAAGCUCAAACACACUUCAUCUUAGAAACAGUGAGUUGCACCUGCUAAGCAAACAAUGCAACCGAUUGCGUAACACACUAGUUGCAUUUUCCAAUCUAACAAUUCUAGGAUUGAGAAUGAAAGCAUUCAUACCUGGGGAAAAGAAUGUAGAGAAGUCCUUGACCCUUGUAGUCAAUCAAAAUAAACAUAUAGCAAAAUGCUAAAAGAUAACAAGUUUUGAUGUCAUUUCAACUGAAUUCAUUAAUCAAAUUGUUCAUUAAUCAA
rnacentral:misc_RNA from 1 species